GACGAACGCUGGCGGCGUGCCUAAUACAUGCAAGUUGAGCGCUGAAGGUUGGUACUUGUACCAACUGGAUGAGCAGCGAACGGGUGAGUAACGCGUGGGGAAUCUGCCUUUGAGCGGGGGACAACAUUUGGAAACGAAUGCUAAUACCGCAUAAAAACUUUAAACACAAGUUUUAAGUUUGAAAGAUGCAAUUGCAUCACUCAAAGAUGAUCCCGCGUUGUAUUAGCUAGUUGUUGAGGUAAAGGCUCACCAAGGCGAUGAUACAUAGCCGACCUGAGAGGGUGAUCGGCCACAUUGGGACUGAGACACGGCCCAAACUCCUACGGGAGGCAGCAGUAGGGAAUCUUCGGCAAUGGACGAAAGUCUGACCGAGCAACGCCGCGUGAGUGAAGAAGGUUUUCGGAUCGUAAAACUCUGUUGGUAGAGAAGAACGUUGGUGAGAGUGGAAAGCUCAUCAAGUGACGGUAAUUACCCAGAAAGGGACGGCUAACUACGUG
rnacentral:rRNA from 1 species